UUGAAUGGGGGACGAACCGUGGGAAACUACGGCUAAUACCGCAUGAUGCCUGAGGGCCAAAGACGAAAGUCGUUUGAGGAGGAGCCUGCGUCUGAUUAGGUAGUUGGUGGGGUAAAGGCCUACCAAGCCUGCGAUCAGUAGCUGGUCUGAGAGGAUGAUCAGCCACAUUGGGACUGAGACACGGCCCAAACUCCUACGGGAGGCAGCAGUGGGGAAUAUUGGACAAUGGGCGAAAGCCUGAUCCAGCAAUGCCGCGUGUGUGAAGAAGGUCUUCGGAUUGUAAAGCACUUUUGGCAGGGACGAUGAUGACGGUACCUGCAGAAUAAGCCCCGGCUAACUUCGUG
rnacentral:rRNA from 1 species